UUCCCCUCCUCCUCUGUCCUUUUGCUGUCCUAGUCUACCUUUCCUGUUCUUGUCCUACCGCUUCAAGAUGCCCUGGUGGGGACUUUCUGAUUUCUCUGUUUCUGGCUUCUAGAACUUUGAAGAUUCCCUCCACAGAGCAACCUGCUCCAAGAACAACUCCAGGCCCAGUAAAUCUUCCCUUGCCAACACAGCUCUACCGCUGCCAGUGCAAAAGGUGGAAAGAUGAUUUCUUUUCUUUGUUUUGUUUUGUUUUUAAUAAGUUUCAUGCUGAGAAAAGCUCAUGAAAACUGCUAGUUCACCCAGGAUGGAAAGACACCCCCAGUAGAAGGGCAAACAGAGCUCAGGGGCUCUUAGUUGCCCUAUGGAGGCAAAGUGACUCUAAAAGCUUUGUCAGUUUGAUUUCAGUGGCUCAUAGGAUUCUUUGAGCCAUUUGCCCUCUCAAAAUAGACAGUAAGUAGACAAUGAGUAGGUCCUCAGAAAAGCCACUCCUAGUUUUGGUAUUUUGUGGAUUCUUUAUUUGGAUGACACACAGGGCAUCAGUUCCUAUUGGCCUUUUCUUGAAUAACUUGCUUACAAAGGAGAAGGAAAUGCUGCUUAAACCACAAUUGCCUUCCAUGGAGAGCAGCUCUUCAUAAAUAAGAAACCCUUUGAAUCUGCUGCGUACCUUGAUGAGUUUGGAUAUGCAAAAUGGACCCAGAGCAAGAUGUGGAAAGAAAGGCAGGGAAGAGUUGAAUUGCUCCGCAUAACUAAAAAGAAAAAUUGGAAUUUGUCAGGAGAACCCAGGAAGGAUGAGGAUGAGAAAAAAGAGAGAAGGCUGGAGAGAAGAACCAGCAAUUUGAAUGAGGCUGAGGCUCUAUGUGGGGUGCAAUGGCCAGUGAAAAAUCUCAGGGAUGGGAAGGCAGAACUUGGAUGACUAUUUUCAUAUGUGGCUGUGUGCUGUUGCAAUAAGACCGUCUCCAUCCUCCUCUUAAGUCUACUCUAAAAUCUUCUCUGCAAACUUUCAUGAAUAAGUGGGGAUUUUUGUUUGUGUUGGUGAACUCAGGGAAGAGGCUCAAUUUCAGGUAUGAGUCAACAUGGAUUAGAACAACAGAAAGCAUAGAGCCACAAAUUUAAAAAGCAGGAGUUAGAAGCCAGGAGUGAUUACAAGACAGUAAUCCCCAAGGAAUUUGGAGAAAUUGUGAGAUGCUCACAGUGUAUUGAGUUGGUGGUUCAAGCUUAUGUUUUCUAAAUACCAAAUGGGAAAGAAAUUUGGAAUUUGUUGGAAGAAUCCAGGAAGGAUGAGGAUGAGAAAAAGAGAGAAUAAUGAAGAGAAGAACCAGCAAUUUGGAUGAGGCUGGGGCUCUAUGUGGGGUGCAAUGGCCAUGCACAUGUGUGUGAAUGCACACACACACACACACGAGUGGAAAAAAAAAUCUUGAAGAAAAGGCCGAGGGAGAAUAUUUGACCAGCCCAGGUACAGGGGAAACCUCACUAAAAAUGAGCUGCUGCUCCCUGGAAUCUGAGGGCUCUUCUCUAAAGAUAGAGCAGAUAGAGCCUUGGGCAGAUAGAGCCUUGGUUCCUGGCUAGGCAACGAAAAGGCAGCAUCAAGAGAAGAGGCAGCUGCUGGCUGCAAAGGAGUGUGGAUAUGCAGGCCAAGCGCUGUCCACAGUGAAGGAAGUUAACCAGGAGAUUGUGAUCAGAUGAGGUAUGAAUUUCUCUUGAUGGUUCUGUGUUUUAUAUAGAAUAUUUGGAAAUGUCUAAAAAUCAUAGCACCUCAAAGUUGGAAGACAGCUUCCCCCCUAUAAACAGUCACUGUUAAAGCUAUUAAAGAGUGUGAAUGUACAUUAGGAAAAACUGAACCAAGAAAGAGACCCGGGAGGGUUUGAUGGUGGGAAGAACCAAAUUCCUGCCAACCAGAAUAGAAUCCCAGAGAAAAAUGGAUGCUAGCCAGAGAAAUAGCCCCUUCCAUAGAUUGUUAUCUAGGGAGAAACAGAGGGAAUGAGGAGGAGUCCAGCACAGCCUCAGACAGACAUAUCUGGGCUCUAAAGCACCUCCCUUUCUAUGUUUUAUGUCUUUAGUUUCAUUCAUUUUUUCGCAUAUAUUUACUGAACAUUCAGUACAAGCCAGGUACUUUUCUUGAUGUUAGGGAGACAGAGAUAAAAUAAUCAGAUAAGGCUUUGUUCUCUUGCAUUUAACACAGGCAAUAAACAAGAGGGAAGAACAUGAAUGAAUAGGAUUUAGAUGCCACUAAGUAUCCUAUGAGUAAAAUAAAGC
rnacentral:lncRNA from 1 species